rnacentral:rRNA from 1 species
UACGGAGGGUGCUAGCGUUGUUCGGAAUCACUGGGCGUAAAGCGCGUGUAGGCGGUCCAUUAAGUCUGGUGUGAAAGCCCGGGGCUCACCUCCGGAAGUGCACUGGAAACUGAUGGACUGGAGUCCCGGAGAGGAGGGUAGAAUUCCUGGUGUAGCGGUGAAAUGCGUAGAUAUCAGGAGGAAUACCGGUGGCGAAGGCGGCCCUCUGGACGGUGACUGACGCUGAGACGCGAAAGCGUGGGGAGCAAACAGG